GAUGAAGAACGCAGCGAAAUGCGAUAAGUAAUGUGAAUUGCAGAAUUCAGUGAAUCAUCGAAUCUUUGAACGCACAUUGCGCCCGCUAGUAUUCUGGCGGGCAUGCCUGUCCGAGCGUCAUUUCAACCCUCAAGCCCCCGGGCUUGGUGUUGGGGAUCGGCCAAAGCCCGCGAGGGACGGCCGGCCCCUAAAUCUAGUGGCGGACCCGUCGUGGCCUCCUCUGCGAAGUAGUGAUAUUCCGCAUCGGAGAGCGACGAGCCCCUGCCGUUAAACCCCCAACUUUCCAAGGUUGACCUCAGAUCAGGUAGGAAUACCCGCUGAACUUAAGCAUAUCAAUAAGCGGAGGA
rnacentral:misc_RNA from 1 species